UGUGAGCCAGAGUCCUGUGGCCUGUGUGACACCAAGGGGUUGAAGCAACCAGUUGGGUAACAGUAUGAUGCAAGUUUCUGUUUCAGAAAAAUGACUAAGAUCUCCAGGUCAUUCUAUUCCAUUUAGAAGAGAAGAAAGUUACCAAGAACUCAAACUUGUAGAUCCAGAAGGGAAAGGGCAAGGUUCCAAAAGCAGAUGGAAACCAAUGAGACAGUAAUUAAAGGAAUGUCUGUUGAGUGCAUACUGAACAUACCCAGACUUCCCCUGAGCCUGAAUGGCUCUAAAAUGCCCACGCUUCUCUGCUGAAGGCAGAUCCUGAUGACCAGUGAGUCCACUAAAGGAAAGUACAUUUUCAGCCUCAUCCUGUUGCAAACCA